AAGCCAAAAGAAGUUUCAAAUAAGCACGGACACGCUAAAUUUGGCCAAGUACCCGUGUCGGACACGUGUAGAUAGGCGACCAAUGAAGCACCUCCGAUGUAGAUCGGCGAUGAAUGAAGCCCCUCUAACGUCACUGAGGCUCCGCCGAUUAUUUCCUCACUUAUAGCAAUAUCAAGAUGGCUAGAUACAAAUGACAACAUCAAAAUAGUUAGACACGGCCGUACUCUAAUUCUCAGGAUUUUGAAGCAAACGCGGCCACAGUCCUCAUCGUCCUCCGCAGCGCACUCACCAAAUACAAAUACAAUCUACUAAUAUGCAGGCUGAACAAUGGGUUAAUAAUAUGACCAAAGCUGCAGAGAAUGAACCGCCAGAAGUAGAAUCAGAGGGUCAACCUUAUAGGCUUGGAUUGGGUGCAAAGGUCUCACGCCAAGCCAAAUUUGGACCUUCAAACGACCCACUUGAAAAGAAACUACGUGCUAAGUUAAACACUGGAAAAAGAAAAGCUGCUAUUAUUGCCAAGGAAUAUACUCCAUCUGCUAGAGAUGGAGGUGAUAAUAUGAGGAUGACGAUUUAGACAGCAGAACAAAUGCAUUUGACAAGAAGCGAGCAAGAGCUCCUAUGACUGUAUGUUCACAGGCAAAUAAAAAACAUAACUAUUUUUCCGUGUCUGUGGAGUCCUUGAGGGUUCUGUCUCUUUUGUUAUCUGUCACAUAUACUUUUUUUUU